rnacentral:sRNA from 1 species
UAGUUUUGUUGAAUGGAAAUGUACAUACUUUAAUAUAUCCGAAUUAUUUCCAUUGUAUUUCAGGUCAGUUUACGUUGCGAGACAUGUAUGAGCAAUUUCAAAAUAUCAUGAAAAUGGGCCCCUUCAGUCAGAUCUUGGGGAUGAUCCCUGGUUUUGGGACAGAUUUUAUGAGCAAAGGAAAUGAACAGGAGUCAAUGGCAAGGCUAAAGAAAUUAAUGACAAUAAUGGAUAGUAUGAAUGAUCAAGGUAAGAUGGCAGAUUAUUUUCCUCAGGCAAAAAUGUUCUGAGUAUCAGUAAGAUGAGAGUUUCACUGUAUUCUUGUGGACAAGAUGGGGAGAAAUUUAGCCUGAAAGAUUAUUUUUGGGUAGAUUUGUAAUAGCUUGAAAGCUCUUACUCAAAGGGUUAUGAUUAUUGGAUUGCCUUCAUCGUUGAGAGAAAUGUCUAGUAUAAUACUUCUCCAAAUGAGUUACAAGGAAAGAACACUAGUUCUUCAUGAUGUUCAUAGAGUUAACUUAAAAGGAGAACUCUGA